ensembl:lncRNA
CAAGAAUACUGAAGUGGGUUGCCAUGCCCUCCUUCAGGGGAUCUUCCCAACUUGGAUCGAACCCACAUCUCUUGUGGCUCCUGCAUUGGCAGGCGGGUUCUUCACCACUAGUGCCACCUGGGAAGCCCAGAAUUAUUCUUCUAUCAAAGAACAUUUGAGUUGUUUCCAGAUUGGAGCAGUUAUGAAUAGAAGAGCUUCUCUGGCAUGGAGCUUGUUUAAGAGAUGACAUCAGGAGCCUCUGGUUCAGAGAAAUAUUGAGUCUUCUCUAAGAACUUUCAGUCAGCCUGCACUCCGGAAACCAAAUAUGACCUCUUUUCACUCUGACAGAAACCACUUUCCUGAUGCCUUUGUCACCAGUGGCCUGCUGUUUGAAGUGGCAGUGCUCCCUCCAGCAUUUCCUAGCAUGGUUCACUCAGGCAGCCGCUGCUCAGGUGAACAACAUGCUCUCACAAGCCAUCCCGAUGCAGUGUCCUCACUCGCUAUAGUCAUCUGAGAUUCCGAAGACCCACAGUGACCAAAGGAAGUCAAAUAAACUUUGUUAAUGUUAAAUUCUUUCCCAACCUCUUGUCCUCACUUACCCAUGACUGCUCACAGUUACAGAAACUUCCAUUCAC